rnacentral:sRNA from 1 species
UAGUCAACAAGCCUUUUAUUGCUAGGGC